GGACAGGCGGACGAAUGGACAGGCUCAACUGCCACAUCUGGGCAGCUAAGGGUCAAGGGGUUGCGGGUGUCUGGCUCAAGGGACUGGGAUCAUUAGUGACCUGCCCUAGUCUCAGCCCCCUUUGAGGGGUUCUAGGGUUGCGCCUUGCAUUCGUCCGCGCGUCUACUCUGUCAUCCACAGUUGAUCCUAACUGAGCGUGCCCAUGGUCCUGGCCCUGGGCUUGGCACCUGCCACCUAGCUUGUCCCUUGAUGGCCUCUGCUUCCUAGGGAGGGCAAGCUGGGGGGUUGUCUGGGAGCCAGAGCAGUGGUCUCUGGCUCCAUAGAGGGCAUUCAGAGGGCAUGGGGUGGGCCUGGUUUGCCUGCCCUGCCUUUGUUACUAUCCAGGCCCGUCGCGUCUUCCUGUGCCAUUUCCUGUUGUGCUCAGGUUCCACGAGCUGCCCAUCUCCAGAGAAGAGCAGCUGGCAUUGCCCACCGGCCGUGCUGGCUGAAGAAGAGAGGACAUGAGGACCCCAGGAUGCCCAGCGUGAGGACCCCAGGACACCCAGCGCGAGGACCCCAGGACGCCCAGCUCGAGGACCCCAGGACGCCCAGCGCGAGGACCCCAGGACGCCCAGCGCGAGGACCCCAGGACGCCCAGCGCGAGGACCCCAGGACGCCCAGCGCGAGGACUCCACAUCCUUACGUUGCAACCCUCCUGGAAUAGGCCAACAUCGUCAUCACCUGGAAUCCUGCGUGGGACCCUGGACACAUGGACACAGAGCCUGCCCAUAGGACCUUCCAACUGUAAAUCCUUCCACAGCCACGGGCACGCCUUGCACACUUCCUCUGGGACAGACAUGCUGGACCCAAGACUCUGGAUCCUGGCCUCCCCUUGAGUAGAGAGACCCACCUACUGACUGAUGAACUGCGCUGACCCUGGGGUCAGGCGUGUGGCCUUGAUCCCUGUCCAUGGACCCUGAGACUUGGGGGGAAGGCUGUUGAGUCUUCACUGUUGAGUCAACAUCUAUGAAAUGGGCUAAGGUUCCUACCUCACAGGGCUGUUGUGAGGCUCUUGCAAUGUGCUUAGAAGCAUGGGGCCUGGUGGCUCAUGGUGCUUUCAAUAAAUGUUUCUUGUUUUAACU
rnacentral:lncRNA from 1 species